GCUAGAUGUGUUUGAAUCAUCGUCUGACAGUAAAUUGGAUCGGCUUGAUUUUGCCAAGUUUUCCUCCGUCGCCUUCUCCCCAGUGCUCUCUGCGAAGCUCAAUUGUUCCUCCGGCUUCUCCCUACACCCAAAGCCCAGAAAAUCCCAAAAGCAGAAAAGCAAAAUUCAGGGAACGGGUUGGGGAUUUUGUUGUCGAAAGGAAAAACAAUGAUCAAGAAGGAAUGUAAACCCAAAACCUAUGUAAAUGUACUACUCACCGUAUCUCUGAAACCAGGCUGAUGGGUUGUUCUAUGCUCCCCUGUUUCUGAGAGACAAUGGAUUGCACAGGCUUGAAACUUCCAUUCCUCUGCAGUAAUUUUCAGAAUUUGAGUAAUUCUAUACUAAAAAAACUUUUGGAGCUCUGUUUGGAUGCUGAGAAAAGGAAAGGAAAGAAAAGAAAACAUGGUACUGAGUCCUAAAAUUUUGAUCAUCUGGGACCCAAAAACCAGAACCCCAGCACAACUGAGCCUACUAAAACGGAUGGGUCCAGUUGGAGUAGGCUGUUCCGCUCUCUGAUGAAAAGAAAGCCCGACAAGAAAGAAAAACACAAAGUUUCUUUCUUAUGUUCGGUUUCUUUUCUUUUCUUUCCUUGGGUUUUCUCUGAAAUCAAACAGAGGUUGAGAGAAAAACAAAACGACAUUCCAUAACAUGGGCUCACCUGGUCUCGAGGGAGUACAUGGAUCCUCUGUUUCUGGCGUUUGGCAUCCUUGGAAGACCCAAAACAAGCAAGAAAACAACCCAUUACAGACGAGUCUCUCUUUCUUGAUCUUUCUGAAACUUGUUCAACGUAGGAAGAAGCCCAAGAAGAAAAUGAAGAUUGGCUUAAAGGGUGUACUUCUCCAUGGGUUCCGAGAGAGCAAA